rnacentral:rRNA from 3 species
AUUUGGAGAGGAUGCUUUUGGCGCGGCGCCGUCCGAGUUCCUUGGAACAGGACGCCACAGAGGGUGAGAGCCCCGUACGGACGGACGCCUAGCCUCUACAAAGCUCCUUCGACGAGUCGAGUAGUUUGGGAAUGCUGCUCAAAAUGGGAGGUAAAUUUCUUCUAAAGCUAAAUACCGGCCAGAGACCGAUAGCGCACAAGUAGAGUGAUCGAAAGAUGAAAAGCACUUUGAAAAGAGGGUUAAAAAGUACGUGAAAUUGUUGAAAGGGAAGCGCCUGUGACCAGACUUGCGCCCCGUGGACCAUCCGGCGUUCUCGCCGGUGCACUCUGCGGGGCGCAGGCCAGCAUCGGUUCUCCUAGGGGGAUAAAGGCCGCGGGAACGUAGCUCCUUCGGGAGUGUUAUAGCCCGUGGUGGCAUGCCCCUGGGGGGACCGAGGACCGCGCUUCGGCAAGGAUGCUGGCGUAAUGGUCACCAGCGACCCGUCUUGAAACACGGACCAAGGAGUCAAGCAUUGGGGCGAGUGUAUGGGUGCCAAACCCGCACGCGAAAUGAAAGUAAACGCAGGUGAGAGCUUCGGCGCAUCAUCGACCGAUCCUGAUGUCUUCGGAUGGAUUUGAGUAAGAGCCUUACCGCUUGGACCCGAAAGAUGGUGAACUAUGCCUGAAUAGGGUGAAGCCAGAGGAAACUCUGGUGGAGG